GGGGUAUUAGUUACAAUGGUAUAACACUAUUUUUGCACGAUAGAGUUUAGGGUUCGAUUCCCUAAUACUCCA
rfam:Wallemia ichthyophaga EXF-994 unplaced genomic scaffold scaffold27, whole genome shotgun sequence.